AAAAAAAGUAACAGUAAGAUAAUAACCACAAAUCAGCACUGAGUAACAAUUUCUUUAAUCAGUAGAAAAGAUGAGAAAUUCAGAUUAGGUCCAGGCAUAAUCAAGGGGUUUAAUUUUUUGCUUUGCCCAUCCACAUGUGUGGAUUUUACUAAGAGCAUUAUGUAUCCUCUGUCUCUUCAUCCAUCAAGGAUAAGCAACUUAAUGAAGGGUGCAAGCCACUGUGCUUGACACCCCUCUAUAAUCAGUACCUAUUUGAAAUUCCACGUAAGUGUGUAUACUGACGAUACUUUUGGGCCAUUACAAAUUCUUUGCUUUUAAGUUGAGAAGGGACUCGAUCGGUGACUGGUUAACAGAGGCUUCAGUUGGUUUAAAACAAGCAUGCCUGGUAUUUUACAUUUUGAAGAGACUGCUCCUGAGGACAAUUCCUCUGACACUGGGCGAUAUUGUUAGUUUCCUAUAUCCAUUGGAUGAUAUAAGUAUUGUGUUUGGAACAACUGUAAUCCACCAAGUAUCUCCAAUAAUGUGUUAUAAAUAACCCUGAGACCCUCCUCUGUUGUGUGUGUGUGUGUAUGAGAGCGAGAGAGACAGACUCUGUAUGGUUAUGGGUAGGAAAACUCCAGUGGAUGAGAUUGUGGAAAAUAACACACUCUAUUGGUUGUUUAGUUGGUGUGUGACAUCAGUCGGUGUGUAUGUGAACCAUGGGCGGUCCACUGAGGUUGGCUACUUUAGGAGCAGGCCGUGCCCCUGGCAACAGCAGAAAACUGGACAACAGCAAGAAACAGAUGAUACGGGGAGAACUGCUGCAAUCGAGACAUUUCCAAGAAGAAGAAACACUUCUCUUGGAGGGCAAGGCGAGGAGCGGACGAUAACAUUUGCUUUCUCUUUGUCCUGUUCAUAGUGCGAUCACAGCCAAGCAAUCAAGCAACCAACCUCUCCUCGACUGGCUCACCUAUCCUCUCCAUCCAGCACGCUGCCAUGGAUCGCUCGGUGCAGGAGCUGUUCCUCAACUUCAUGAUCGUCUUAAUCACUGUGCUGCUGAUGUGGUUGCUGGUGAAAUCUUACCAGGACUAAAAAAUUAAGCAAUGAGAGAGGACACGGACGUGAGGCGGAGGGGAUGGAGAGACACGUGCGUCGGGUUAUCGGAAGACUUGGCUGCUGGCUAAAUUUUAUAAUACAGUGUUUACACCUACAGCUCUGCUUAUUCAUGUGAGGUCAACAAUAAGUGGUUACUAUAGCCAGGACAAACUAUGAAGGAUAAAAUAGUUCAGAAUCUGUAUUUUUAGUGUUUUUGUUUAGUUUUUUUGAAUAAGGCCAUGAAUGUGAAAUCACAGCAUAGUGGUCAGGGUUAAUAAAUAAGAAUAAAAUUGUUGAAAACCCAAAUGGGAUGGCUUGAAAACUCUAAAAAAAAUGCAAUGUCACUAUAAACAGGAGUGCAUACCAUAGUCUGUAUGUCUAAGUGCCCAACACAUUUAACAAUGCUGUUGUGUCCAAUCUUUCAGUUUUUUUGUCAAAGGGAUGAACACGACAAACUCAUAAAACAAGACAACACAACUGUUGAAGCAUUAUGUUUAUGAUCACUUCUUAACAUUAAACAGUCUUUCAUUUGUUUA